rnacentral:rRNA from 1 species
AACGAACGUUGGCGGCAGGCUUAACACAUGCAAGUCGAACGCCCCGCAAGGGGAGUGGCAGACGGGUGAGUAACGCGUGGGAACAUACCCUUUUCUACGGAAUAGCUCUGGGAAACUGGAAUUAAUACCGUAUACGCCCUACGGGGGAAAGAUUUAUCGGGGAAGGAUUGGCCCGCGUUGGAUUAGCUAGUUGGUGGGGUAAAGGCCUACCAAGGCGACGAUCCAUAGCUGGUCUGAGAGGAUGAUCAGCCACAUUGGGACUGGGACACGGCCCAAACUCCUACGGGAGGCAGCAGUGGGGAAUAUUGGACAAUGGGCGCAAGCCUGAUCCAGCCAUGCCGCGUGAGUGAUGAAGGCCUUAGGGUUGUAAAGCUCUUUCACCGAUGAAGAUAAUGACGGUAGUCGGAGAAGAAGCCCCGGCUAACUUCGUG